GAAUUGACGGGGGCCCGCACAAGCGGAGGAACAUGUGGUUUAAUUCGAUGAUACGCGAGGAACCUUACCCGGGCUUGAAUUGCAGAUGAAGGAUCCAGAGAUGGUGACGCCCUUCGGGGCAUCUGUGAAGGUGCUGCAUGGUUGUCGUCAGCUCGUGCCGUGAGGUGUCGGCUCAAGUGCCAUAACGAGCGCAACCCCUCUCUUCAGUUGCCAUCAGGUGAUGCUGGGCACUCUGGAGACACUGCCACCGCAAGGUGUGAGGAAGGUGGGGAUGACGUCAAAUCAGCACGGCCCUUACGUCCGGGGCUACACACGUGUUACAAUGGGGGGUACAGAAAGCCGGCUGCCCGCAAGGUCAGUCCAAUCAAGAAAGCCUCCCUCAGUUCGGACUGGGGUCUGCAACCCGACCCCACGAAGCUGGAUUCGCUAGUAAUCGCGCAUCAGCCGUGGCGCGGUGAAUACGUUCCCGGGCCUUGUACACACCG
rnacentral:rRNA from 1 species